rnacentral:rRNA from 1 species
AGAGUUUGAUCCUGGCUCAGAUUGAACGCUGGCGGCAUGCCUUACACAUGCAAGUCGAACGGCAGCACGGGGGCAACCCUGGUGGCGAGUGGCGAACGGGUGGGUAAUAUAUCGGAACGUGCCCUGGAGUGGGGGAUAACUAGUCGAAAGAUUAGCUAAUACCGCAUACGAUCUACGGAUGAAAGUGGGGGACCCGCAAGGGCCUCAUGCUCCUGGAGCGGCCGAUAUCUGAUUAGCUAGUUGGUGAGGUAAAGGCUCACCAAGGCAUCGAUCAGUAGCUGGUCUGAGAGGACGACCAGCCACACUGGGACUGAGACACGGCCCAGACUCCUACGGGAGGCAGCAGUGGGGAAUUUUGGACAAUGGGCGCAAGCCUGAUCCAGCAAUGCCGCGUGAGUGAAGAAGGCCUUCGGGUUGUAAAGCUCUUUUGUCAGGGAAGAAACGGUGAGGGCGAAUACCCCUUGCUAAUGACGGUACCUGAAGAAUAAGCACCGGCUUAACUACGUGCCA